rnacentral:rRNA from 1 species
UACAGAGGUCUCGAGCGUUAGGCGGAAUCACUGGGCUUAAAGCGUGUGUAGGCGGAUGCCUAAGUACCUUGUGAAAUCCCACAGCUUAACUGUGGAACUGCUUGGUAUACUGGGUGUCUUGAGCCACUCAGGGGCGAGCGGAACAAAUGGUGGAGCGGUGAAAUGCGUAGAUAUCAUCUGGAACGCCAAUGGUGAAAACAGCUCGCUGGGGGUUUGCAGACGCUGAGACACGGAAGCCAGGGGAGCGAACGGG